rnacentral:rRNA from 1 species
GAUGAACGCUGGCGGCGUGCCUAAUACAUGCAAGUCGAGCGAACAGACGAGGAGCUUGCUCCUCUGACGUUAGCGGCGGACGGGUGAGUAACACGUGGAUAACCUACCUAUAAGACUGGGAUAACUUCGGGAAACCGGAGCUAAUACCGGAUAAUAUAUUGAACCGCAUGGUUCAAUAGUGAAAGACGGUUUUGCUGUCACUUAUAGAUGGAUCCGCGCCGCAUGAGCUAGUUGGUAAGGUAACGGCUUACCAAGGCAACGAUGCGUAGCCGACCUGAGAGGGUGAUCGGCCACACUGGAACUGAGACACGCUCCAGACUCCUACGGGAGGCAGCAGUAGGGAAUCGUCCGCAAUGGGCGAAAGCUUGACGGAGCAACGCCGCGUGAGUGAUGAAGGUCUUCGGAUCGUAAAACUCUGUUAUUAGGGAAGAACAAAUGUGUAAGUAACUAUGCACGUCUUGACGGUACCUAAUCAGAAAGCCACGGCUAACUACGUG